rnacentral:tRNA from 1 species
GGUAAGAUGGCCGAGCGCUUAGGCGGUAGGCUGUAGUCCUAUUUAGAGGGGUUUAAUUCCUUUUCUUAUCA